rnacentral:rRNA from 1 species
GAUGAACGCUGGCGGCGUGCUUAACACAUGCAAGUCGAGCGAAGCGCCUUGAAGUUUUCGGACCAAGAGGUGACUGAGCGGCGGACGGGUGAGUAACGCGUGGGUAACCUGCCUCAUACAGGGGGAUAACAGUUAGAAAUGACUGCUAAUACCGCAUAAGUGCACAGGACCGCAUGGUCCGGUGUGAAAAACUCCGGUGGUAUGAGAUGGACCCGCGUCUGAUUAGCUUGUUGGCGGGGUAACGGCCCACCAAGGCGACGAUCAGUAGCCGACCUGAGAGGGUGACCGGCCACAUUGGGACUGAGACACGGGCCCAAACUCCUACGGGAGGCAGCA